rnacentral:rRNA from 1 species
GACGAACGCUGGCGGCGUGCUUAACACAUGCAAGUCGAACGAUGAAGGAGAGCUUGCUCUCCGGAUUAGUGGCGAACGGGUGAGUAACACGUGACUAACCUGCCCCUUUCUCUGGGAUAACGCUCCGAAAGGAGUGCUAAUACCGGAUACGAACUCUGAACACAUGUUCGGAGUUGGAAAGUUUUUCGGAAAGGGAUGGAGUCGCGGCCUAUCAGCUUGUUGGUGAGGUAACGGCUCACCAAGGCGACGACGGGUAGCCGGCCUGAGGGGGCGACCGGCCACACUGGGACUGAGACACGGACCAGACUCCUACGGGAGGAAGCAGUGGGGAAUAUUGGACAAUGGGCGGAAGCCUGAUCCAGCCAUGCCGCGUGUGUGAAGAAGGCCUUUUGGUUGUAAAGCACUUUAAGCGAGGAGGAGGCUACUUAGAUUAAUACUCUGGGAUAGUGGACGUUACUCGCAGAAUAAGCACCGGCUAACUCUGUGCCAGCAGCCGCCGUAA